rnacentral:rRNA from 1 species
UGGGGAAUUUUGGACAAUGGGCGCAAGCCUGAUCCAGCCAUGCCGCGUGCGGGAAGAAGGCCUUCGGGUUGUAAACUGCUUUUGUACGGAACGAAAAGGCUCUUUCUAAUAAAGAGGGCCCAUGACGGUACCGUAAGAAUAAGCACCGGCUAACUACGUGCCAGCAGCCGCGGUAAUACGUAGGGUGCGAGCGUUAAUCGGAAUUACUGGGCGUAAAGCGUGCGCAGGCGGUUCUAUAAGACAGAUGUGAAAUCCCCGGGCUCAACCUGGGAAUGGCAUUUGUGACUGUAGAGCUAGAGUACGGUAGAGGGGGAUGGAAUUCCGCGUGUAGCAGUGAAAUGCGUAGAUAUGCGGAGGAACACCGAUGGCGAAGGCAAUCCCCUGGACCUGUACUGACGCUCAUGCACGAAAGCGUGGGGAGCAAACAGGAUUAGAUACCCUGGUAGUCCCUGAGCGGGCUGGCAAGGCGCAU